UAGUGAGUUUGAUCCUGGCUCAGGAUGAACGCUGGCGAUCUGCUUAACACAUGCAAGUCGAACGCAAGUAGAAAUACUUGAGUGGCGCACGGGUGCGUAACGCGUGAGAAUCUGCCUUCUGGUCGGGGACAACCACUGGAAACGGUGGCUAAUACCGGAUAUGCCUAUGGGUGAAAGAUUAAUUGCCAGAAGAAGAGCUCGCGUCUGAUUAGCUAGUUGGUGAGGUAAAGGCUCACCAAGGCCACGAUCAGUAGCUGGUCUGAGAGGACGACCAGCCACACUGGAACUGAGACACGGUCCAGACUCCUACGGGAGCAGCAGUGGGGAAUUUCCGCAAUGGGGCGCAAGCCUGACGGAGCAAUACCCGCGUGAGGGGAA
rnacentral:rRNA from 1 species